AUUGACCUGGUGCUCACUGCAGGUUGCGUUCCUACACUGACUGUAUACACAGAGGAGGCAGAGUGAGCCCACCCACACGUCUCAGCCCAGGCCCUGUGCCUCGUCUGUACUGUGAAUGUGGGCACGUCC
rfam:Tupaia chinensis contig231653, whole genome shotgun sequence.